GUCUCCGUAGGUGAACCUGCGGAGGGAUCAUUACAAGUGACCCCGGUCUAACCACCGGGAUGUUCAUAACCCUUUGUUGUCCGACUCUGUUGCCUCCGGGGCGACCCUGCCUUCGGGCGGGGGCUCCGGGUGGACACUUCAAACUCUUGCGUAACUUUGCAGUCUGAGUAAACUUAAUUAAUAAAUUAAAACUUUUAACAACGGAUCUCUUGGUUCUGGCAUCGAUGAAGAACGCAGCGAAAUGCGAUAAGUAAUGUGAAUUGCAGAAUUCAGUGAAUCAUCGAAUCUUUGAACGCACAUUGCGCCCCCUGGUAUUCCGGGGGGGCAUGCCUGUUCGAGCGUCAUUUCACCACUCAAGCCUCGCUUGGUAUUGGGCAACGCGGUCCGCCGCGUGCCUCAAAUCGACCGGCUGGGUCUUCUGUCCCCUAAGCGUUGUGGAAACUAUUCGCUAAAGGGUGCUCGGGAGGCUACGCCGUAAAACAAACCCAUUUCUAAGGUUGACCUCGGAUCAGGUAGGGAUACCCGCUGAACUUAAGCAU
rnacentral:rRNA from 1 species